rnacentral:rRNA from 1 species
UUCCGGUUGAUCCCGCCGGACCUGACUGCUAUCGGAUUGAUACUAAGCCAUGCUAGUCUUUGUAGUAAUACAAGGCAUACGGCUCAGUAACGCGUAGUCAACCUACCCUAUGGACGGGGAUAAUCUCGGGAAACUGAGCAUAAUACCCGGCAGACCACUUAUCCUGGAAUGGUUAGUGGUUAAAAUGAUUCGUCGCCAUAGGAUGGGACUGCGGCCUAUCAGCUUGUUGGUGAGGUAAUGGCCCACCAAGGCGAUUACAGGUACGGGCUCUGAGAGGAGAGGCCCGGAGAUGGGUACUGAGACAAGGACCCAGGCCCUAUGGGGCGCAGCAGGCGAGAAAACUUUGCAAUGUGCGAAAGCACGACAAGGUUAAUCCGAGUGAUUUCUGCUAAAGGAAUCUUUUGUUAGUUCUAAAAAUACUAGUGAAUAAGGGGUGGGCAAGUUCUGGUGUCAGCCGCCGCGGUAAAACCAGCACCUCAAGUGGUCAGGAGGAUUAUUGGGCCUAAAGCAUCCGUAGCCUGUUCUAUAAGUUUGCGGUUAAAUCUAUACGCUCAACGUAUAGGCUGCCGUAAAUACUGUAGAACUAGGGAGUGGGAGAGGUAGACGGUACUCGGUAGGAAGGGGUAAAAUCCUUUGAUCUAUCGAUGACCACCUGUGGCGAAGGCGGUCUACCAGAACACGUUCGACGGUGAGGGAUGAAAGCUGGGGGAGCAAACCGGAUUAGAUACCCGGGUAGUCCCAGCUGUAAACGAUGCAGACUCGAUGAUGCAUUGGCAUAUAGCCAGUGCAGUGUCGCAGGGAAGCCGUUAAGUCUGCCGCCUGGGAAGUACGUACGCAAGUAUGAAACUUAAAGGAAUUGGCGGGGGAGCACCACAAGGGGUGAAGCCUGCGGUUCAAUUGGAUUCAACGCCGGG